rnacentral:lncRNA from 1 species
AAUGUUUGCUCAAGCAUGGUAAUUAAGAUAGGCGGGGCUUCAGCUUGUAUACAUCAUACUUAAAUUUUAUUGGACGUUAUCUUGGAGGUUAAGGACACUAAAUUUUAAAACAUCACAUGAUACUUAUUCUCACAUGUUUCCUUACCUGUAAAUAUACAAUACAGACAGGAUUCUACUUCGUCUAAAUUAUCUUCCUAUUACACCAGUUCAUUUUCACAAUCGUAGAAACGGAAGACAAAUUUUUUUUCAGAGAUCCAACUUAAAGACUGUCGUCAAGCAUUUUUAGUAAAAUAGCUAUUCGAACACACCUACUCUGAUUUUGUGAUCCAUUGGAUAGGUAUUUCACUUGACCCC